rnacentral:rRNA from 1 species
CCUACGGGUGGCAGCAGUGGGGAAUAUUGCGCAAUGGGCGAAAGCCUGACGCAGCGACGCCGCGUGAGGGAUGAAGGUCUUCGGAUCGUAAACCUCUGUCAGCAGGGAAGAACGGUCACUUUGCUAAUCAGCAGUGAAUUGACGGUACCUGCAAAGGAAGCACCGGCUAACUCCGUGCCAGCAGCCGCGGUAAUACGGAGGGUGCGAGCGUUAAUCGGAAUUACUGGGCGUAAAGCGCUCGUAGGCGGUAUGUCAAGUCAAGGGUGAAAUCCCCGCGCUCAACGUGGGAACUGCCUUUGAAACUGGCAAACUGGAGGGUGGGAGAGGAUAGUGGAAUUCCAGGUGUAGGAGUGAAAUGCGUAGAUAUCUGGAGGAACAUCAGUGGCGAAGGCGACUAUCUGGCACAUAACUGACGCUGAGGAGCGAAAGCGUGGGUAGCAAACAGGAUUAGAUACCCUUGUAGUC